rnacentral:rRNA from 1 species
AGGUGCGAUCAUACCAGCGCUAAUGCACCAGAUCCCAUCAGAACUCCGCAGUUAAGCGGGCUUGGGCGAGAGUAGAACUAGGAUGGGUGACCUCCUGGGAAGUCCUCGUGUUGCACC